rnacentral:rRNA from 1 species
GCAGACUUGAGUACUGCAGGGGAGACUGGAAUUCCUGGUGUAGCGGUGGAAUGCGCAGAUAUCAGGAGGAACACCGGUGGCGAAGGCGGGUCUCUGGGCAGUAACUGACGCUGAGGAGCGAAAGCGUGGGGAGCGAACAGGAUUAGAUACCCUGGUAGUCCACGCCGUAAACGGUGGGUACUAGGUGUGGGUUUCCUUCCUUGGGAUCCGUGCCGUAGCUAACGCAUUAAGUACCCCGCCUGGGGAGUACGGCCGCAAGGCUAAAACUCAAAGAAAUUGACGGGGGCCCGCACAAGCGGCGGAGCAUGUGGAUUAAUUCGAUGCAACGCGAAGAACCUUACCUGGGUUUGACAUGCACAGGACGCCAGUAGAGAUAUUGGUUCCCUUGUGGCCUGUGUGCAGGUGGUGCAUGGCUGUCGUCAGCUCGUGUCGUGAGAUGUUGGGUUAAGUCCCGCAACGAGCGCAACCCUUGUCCUAUGUUGCCAGCGGGUUAUGCCGGGGACUCGUAGGAGACUGCCGGGGUCAACUCGGAGGAAGGUGGGGAUGACGUCAAGUCAUCAUGCCCCUUAUGUCCAGGGCUUCACACAUGCUACAAUGGCCGGUACAAAGGGCUGCGAUGCCGUGAGGUGGAGCGAAUCCUUUCAAAGCCGGUCUCAGUUCGGA